rnacentral:rRNA from 1 species
CACGUAGUUAGCCGAGGCUUCUUCUGCAGGUACCGUCACGAUCGCUUCGUCCCUGCCGAAAGGGGUUUACAACCCGAGGGCCUUCAUCCCCCACGCGGCGUCGCUGCGUCAGGCUUUCGCCCAUUGCGCAAGAUUCCCCACUGCUGCCUCCCGUAGGAGUCUGGGCCGUAUCUCAGUCCCAGUGUGGCUGGGUCGUCCUCUCAGACCAGCCUACCCGUCGUCGCCUUGGUGGGCCGUUACCCCACCAACAAGCUGAUAGGCCGCGGGCCCAUCCCUCACCAGCGGACUUUUCCCGACCAGACCAUGCGGACCGGUCGGAGUAUCCGGUAUUAGCUCCGGUUUCCCGGGGUUAUCCCAGAGUGAGGGGCAGGUUGCCCACGUGUUACGCACCCGUUCGCCACUGAUCCCCGGGCGAAGCCCGGUCACCGUUCGACUUGCAUGUGUUAAGCGCGCCGCCAGCGUUCGUCCUCGUAGCCAGGAUCGUAAAACCUACCU